UAUUAUAUCAUUGAGAUUAUUUUGUAGGUGGAUACCCGUGGUAAUUCUAGAGCUAAUACAUGUCACUAAAAAUAUAUUAUUUUAUAUAUUGUGCGGUUAUUUCUUUUCAAACCAAAAUGCUUCAGCAUUGUGGAUGAUUCAUAAAAAUGUUAGGAGAACGCUUUAAUACGUGACGAAUCAUUCAAGUUUCUGACCUAUCAGUUAGUCAGUAGUGUAUUGGACUACUGAGGCGUUGACGGGUAACAGAGAAUUAGGGUUCUGUUCCGGAGAGGGAGCCUGAGAAACAGCUACUACA
rnacentral:rRNA from 1 species